GACGAACGCUGGCGGCGUGCUUAACACAUGCCAGUCGAACGGAAAGACCCUGCUUUUGUGGGGUGCUCGAGUGGCGAACGGGUGAGUAACACGCGAGUAACAUGCCCUUGACUUUGGGAUAACUUCAGGAGACUGGGGCUAAUACCGGAUAGGAGCUCCUGCACCAUGGUGGGGGAUGGAAAGUUUCGGCGGUUGGGGCUGGACUCGCGGGUUAUCAGCUUGUUGGUGGGGUAGGGGCUUACAAAGGCUUUGAAGGGUAGCCGGCCUGAGAGGGUGACCGGCCACAUGGGUCCUGAGAUAGGGACCAGAAGCCUACGGGAGGCAGUAGGGGAGAAUAUUGCGCAAUGGGCGGAAGCCUGAUGCAGCAACGCCGGGUGCGGGAUGACGGCUUUCGGGUUGAGAACCGCUGUCGACGGUGACGAACCGUGAGUGACGGUAAUGGGUAAAGAAGCACCGGCUAACUACGUG
rnacentral:rRNA from 1 species